rnacentral:rRNA from 1 species
AGAGUUUGAUCAUGGCUCAGGAUGAACGCUGGCGGCGUGCUUAACACAUGCAAGUCGAACGGUGACCUCGGAGCUUGCUCCGGGCGAUCAGUGGCGAACGGGUGAGUAACACGUGAGUAACCUGCCCCAGACUCUGGGAUAACCCCGGGAAACCGGAGCUAAUACCGGAUACGACACGAAGAGGCAUCUCUAUCGUGUGGAAAGUUUUUCGGUCUGGGAUGGACUCGCGGCCUAUCAGCUAGUUGGUGAGGUAACGGCUCACCAAGGCGACGACGGGUAGCCGGCCUGAGAGGGCGACCGGCCACACUGGGACUGAGACACGGCCCAGACUCCUACGGGAGGCAGCAGUGGGGAAUAUUGCACAAUGGGCGAAAGCCUGAUGCAGCGACGCCGCGUGGGGGAUGACGGCCUUCGGGUUGUAAACCCCUUUCAGCAGGGAAGAAGCGAAAGUGACGGUACCUGCAGAAGAAGCACCGGCUAACUACGUGCCAGCCGCCGC